AAUUGGGCAGAAUGAUGAAUCAAUUAGAUGUGUGAAUGGAGCCGAUCCAUUUUGAACUCAACUGGUGAGGUAUAUUGAUUUUCUGACUUGCCAAUG